GAUGAACGCUAGCUACAGGCUUAACACAUGCAAGUCGAGGGGUCUGCUUCGGCAGACGACCGGCGCACGGGUGAGUAACGCGUAUCCAACCUGCCCUUCAUAUUGGGAUAGCCUCUCGAAAGGGAGAUUAAUACCGAAUAACAUGAGAUAGUUGCCUGAUUUUCUCAUGAAAGCUCCGGCGAUGAAGGAUGGGGAUGCGUUCCAUUAGGUAGUAGGCGGGGUAACGGCCCACCUAGCCGACGAUGGAUAGGGGUUCUGAGAGGAAGGUCCCCCACACUGGUACUGAGACACGGACCAGACUCCUACGGGAGGCAGCAGUGAGGAAUAUUGGUCAAUGGGCGGAAGCCUGAACCAGCCAAGUAGCGUGAAGGAUUACAGCCCUACGGGUUUUAAACUUCUUUUAUAUAAGAGUAAUGUGCACUACGUGUAGUGUAUUGCAAGUAUUAUAUGAAUAAGCAUCGGCUAACUCCGUG
rnacentral:rRNA from 1 species